AAUUUCAGGUUCCCAAAUCAUCCUCUCCAUUCCACUCACCCCCACCCAGUCUCUCUGUACCCAGAUCCAGGAAGCCAGACGGCAGACCUACAAUGCUGAUACACUGAUGAGAGAUCCUGGCCAGACUCAGAAGUCUUCUCCUCCCAGGCCUCGUUCUCCUGAGAGGCCGAGCUGGAAGCAGAUUCCUGGCCCUAAGGCCAGCACUCUUGCCUCUGUGGUGCAGGACACCCGAGUGACAAAUCCCAUUUGCCUAAUGAGGAAACAGCGUCAUCUAGUGGCGAUUUAUCCUUUUUCUAGGAAAUGCUUUUUUAUGAGGGGCAUGCUUAACUGGAAUCCCUGGCACGAUGGCUUCAGAAAGACUGGAAGUGACCUGGAGACAGAAGCACCACUGAUGACAAAAGGUGAGUAUGUUGGGCAAUGUUGGACAGAGAUCUGGGCUAGGAAGAUCAGAUGCACCUCAGGAGGAGGCCGGUCUCACCUUGAAACUCGAGAAGAACUCCAGGGGUCGUGCCACCAUUCGAAAAGACCCCGAUGUCCCCGUCCACUCGAGAUAAGGCCUCAUCCCCCAGAGACUGAAUAG
ensembl:lncRNA